rnacentral:rRNA from 1 species
GCAGUCGAACGGUAACAGGCCGCUGUGAUCCCUUCGGGGUGAACUUGGCGCNGNCNAGUGGCGGACGGGUGAGUAAUGCGUAGGGAUUUGCCUCANAGUGGGGGAUAGCCCGGAGAAAUCCGGAUUAAUACCGCAUGUGCUCUACGGAGGAAAGCGGGCCUCUACUUGUAAGCUCGCGCUUUGAGAUAAGCCUACGUCGGAUUAGCUUGUUGGUAGGGUAAUGGCCUACCAAGGCGACGAUCCGUAGCUGGUUUGAGAGGAUGAUCAGCCACACCGGAACUGAGACACGGUCCGGACUCCUACGGGAGGCAGCAGUGGGGAAUAUUGGACAAUGGGCGAAAGCCUGAUCCAGCAAUGCCGCGUGUGUGAAGAAGGCCUGCGGGUUGUAAAGCACUUUUAUCANGAAAGAAAAUCAUAGGGAUAAUACCCCUAUGCCUUGACGGUACUUGAUGAAUAAGCACCGGCUAACUCCGUGCCAGCAGCCGCGGUAAUACGGAGGGUGCAAGCGUUAAUCGGAAUUACUGGGCGUAAAGCGAGUGUAGGCGGCUUCGUAAGUCGGAUGUGAAAGCCC